rnacentral:lncRNA from 1 species
GGGACUGGUUUCACAGCCAAAAUGCAAGUAACAAAGUUUUGUUUUCUUAUCUCUCCCUCCGUACUUCUCCCUCCCCAUCGUCAGAACCCUUUGCACGUGCCCUCUGCCAAUAACUUGGACCUGCUUCAAUUAUUUCUAAAUAAAUGAUGGAUAUGUAAAAUAGGGCCUGGUGCUUGUAAUGAGUCUCACCAUCCCCUGAGAAAAGUGAUGUGUGAUUUCAUCAUAGGGAAAGAAAAAAAAAAACCAAAUAUUUAAAAGGACAUAGCAAGUGUUCAGAGGAAGAGCAACAAACAUUAAUGCAUCGACAAAGGCAAGUCUCCAUUCUGUUUCAGGUGUAGGUCCAGGGAGGCACUUUGGCUUAAAAAAAAAAAGUAGCAGUUACUUCUAGUGACUGGAAAAAGUUAAGGCAGUAGGCACAACUUAAUCUAUAUAGCCAACUAAUAACUUCAUUAGAAUAUGAGUUCUAGUCUUCCCCAUUCUCAUUUUUACCGAAUAACAUUUAGUAGUACAAGUAUCUGAGGGAACAGAGAGUCAAUGUCAAUGCAUAAACUUGCAUUAAAGGCUGGAUGUCUCCUUUGCAAAGACAACCCUGAAACAAUUUAACAGAUUUGAAGGAAAUUUAACUGGAAAUUUAACCGCUAUUAUAUACAAAUGACCCCAAAUGGACCCAGUUAGGACAGAAUUCUCUACUGAGGUCAGUUACAUCAAUCUCAUUAAUGAGCUUUGCUUUAUUUUAAACUAAUGAAUGAUUAAAAGUAUCUAACCCACAAUCCCACACUCACACACCUCUAACUCAAACCAAAAUAACUGUUUUUCUCUUGAUCCAGUUCUGCCAGUAGAAACUUACCCAACACAUGAGUUCUGUGGGAGAGAGGAAACAAGCAUUAACAUAAAUUAAAGAAACAUAUUGUGUUACAUCUUGGAUUUGUGUAAUCCCUGGAUGCCAGUUAUCUCUGUUUAUGCUACUGGCUUCCAAAUAAUUAACUUGAUUUUAUUCACCUGGGAGGAGGUCACCGCAUCUCCAUCAAAUGCGAGUACACGUGAGGCAAACAAUAUCUGUCUACUCCAUCUUUUCUGUGGUGUGGAAAUCCCUCCAUCUCAAAUAUCUCAAUUCCAGGGCCCUACAAGCUUUCAGAAGAACCAGAGCUCUCUAAGAGAAAUUCUAUCUGUUUCUUUACAGAACUGACUGUGUUGUAAGAGUUCGGCAUGAACUGGAAACUUAUUUCAUUUAGCUAAGAGAAUUAGCUAAAGACUUUAAAGAAGAAAUAUUGUUUGUUUUGGUUUCUAUUUGGAAGGGUUGCCCUACCAAAGAGUGAGCUGGGAAUAAAUUCGGUAGCUUCUAUGUUUUGACUCACUAUUUAAAACCCAGUUGGUGAUUUCUGGUUUCAUGCACUAUUCGACUUCAGACGAACUAAAAUUGUGGGUACGGCACAGACAACUGCUUGCGUUUGGAAAGGAUGACCUAGCUCCGUAUUCACUUUUCUUGUCAAAAGGAGAGGGACUGUGAGCCUGUUCUGUAUGUAUAGGAAGGCCCAGGUGGAAGUUGUCAGCACUUAGGACUCAAAGGACAAGUCAGCUGGUUUCCUGUUAGAGUCACACAUGUUGUGGAUGAACCCCACAGAUGAGGGGCUUGCGUUAUUUUAUUUUAUUUUUGGCAUUUUAAUAAAACU